rnacentral:rRNA from 1 species
UACCAGCUCUCCGAGUGGUAGGGAUGUUUAUUGGGCUUAAAGCGUCCGUAGCCGGCUUAGCAAGUCUCCUGUUAAAUUCAGCGACCUAAUCGUUGAGCCGCGGGAGAUACUACUAGGCUAGGAGGCGGGAGAGGUCGACGGUACUUCUGGGGUAGGGGUGAAAUCCUAUAAUCCCGGGAGGACCACCAGUGGCGAAGGCUGUCGACUAGAACGCGCUCGACGGUGAGGGACGAAAGCUGGGGGAGCGAACCGGAUUAGAUACCCGGGUAGUCCCAGCUGUAAACGAUGCGGGCUAGGUGUUGGGGUGGCUACGUGCCACUUCAGUGCCGCAGGGAAGCCAUUAAGCCCGCCGCCUGGGGAGUACGGCCGCAAGGCUGAAACUUAAGGAAUUGGCGGGGGAGCACCACAAGGGGUGAAGCUUGCGGUUC